rnacentral:tRNA from 1 species
GGUCCGGUUAGCUCAGUGGUUUGAGCGUGGUGCUGACCACAAGGACCAACACCGAAGUUGCGGGUUCGAUUCCCGCUCGGUCCC